UCUUAUGGAUGAACAAAAUAUGUGGUUUCUUGAGAUGGAAUCUAUUUUUGGUGCAGAUGCUGUGAA
rnacentral:pre_miRNA from 2 species